GCGGAAGUAGUUCAGUGGUAGAACAUCACCUUGCCAAGGUGGGGGUCGCGGGUUCGAAUCCCGUCUUCCGCUCCAUU
rnacentral:tRNA from 1 species